rnacentral:rRNA from 1 species
AACGAACGCUGGCGGCAUGCCUAACACAUGCAAGUCGAACGAGACCUUCGGGUCUAGUGGCGCACGGGUGCGUAACGCGUGGGAACCUGCCCUUAGGUUCGGAAUAACUCCCCGAAAGGGGUGCUAAUACCGGAUAAUGUCUUCGGACCAAAGAUUUAUCGCCUUUGGAUGGGCCCGCGGUGGAUUAGCUAGUUGGUAGGGUAAAAGCCUACCAAGGCGACGAUCCAUAGCUGGUCUGAGAGGAUGAUCAGCCACACUGGGACUGAGACACGGGCCAGACUCCUACGGGAGGCAGCAGUGGGGAAUAUUGGACAACGGGCGAAAGCCUGAUCCAGCAAUGCCGCGUGAGUGAUGAAGGCCUUAGGGUUGUAAAGCUCUUUUACCCGGGAUGAUAAUGACAGUACCGGGAGAAUAAGCUCCGGCUAACUCCGUG